AAUGUGGUUUCUGGAUGAAAAACUGAGAACAGACUGACCCUCUGGCCACAGCUAUUCACGUCAGAGACCUGCUGUUGCAGGUGCAUGCUGUUUGGUUCGGUUUGCCAAGUCAAAAUAGCAGUGCUUCCCAAUGUGAGACAUCUGUAUAUUCCAGCAGUGCAAGAUGCCCCACGAGUCAUUAAAUAGAAGAAAUUCUGAUUCUUUUGGUGCUGUGGAUAAAACAUUGAAGCUCCACCCUACUCCUCCUCCAAGUGAAUAAACACUUCAUCAGAAUGUUUCACACUGGAAAUAUUAACACCAAAUUAAUGAAAUUCAGUGCCAUCAGGAAGCUACAACAUUGACUUCUCGUGCCCUGUGCGGCAAGUACAGUUCUCUUUACUAGAGUUCCUUGCCAAAUCUUGCUCUAACUAGCCAUGGGAUCUGUCUCACCUGCUGGAACUUCAGUUUCCUCAUCUGUAGAAUGGUGGAAACAGCACUAUAUUCCCUUGGCCAUGAGGACUGCAUCCAAAUAUACUACCACACAUAAAAUACGUAGCUUCAAGAUGUCUUGAAGGAGCAGCCUCUGUUCCGUCUGGGUUGGCCAAAUCAGAAAUAUUUGAAGACUGAAGGAAUCUUUAAAGGAAUCUUUAAUCCAAUGUCAGACGGCACCACAGUUGCCAAAGUACUAACUGGCCACACAUUUGGGGGCAGCUUUUCACCUCUAGUUUCUCUAAAAUGAUUAGGAAUUAGAGAAAUAUCCCAUCCAAAGCCAUGACUAACAAUAAUGUUCUCUAAGGUUGCAGUCAAGCAUAGAUGUUUAACAACACACACUUAGGGAUGAGUUAAGACUUAGAGGGAUUUGCAUAAAUUAGAGGAACCACAUAAAAAUUUACAAAAUAAAUUUGACAAUUUAUAAAAUCUUGUUUUCAGGGGCAAAUCUUGGGGUUUGCUUAGGGGUAGAAUCACAUUUUGUAUGCUCUUCGUACCAUUUCAAAAAAAUAUUUCUCUCUUCCUGCUAAAAGGUUUGCAUGGUCUAGCAGCUGCUGUCUUGGUGAGGCUCCUAGUGAGUAGCAGGAUGAAAAGAGAACAUAUUCAAAAUCUGUGGGAAGAUUCCAUCUUGAAGAGAAGAGCCAUGUUUGUUUGAUUUUUUUCAAACUUUGGUGAAUACCUCAAGAAAGGCUGCUGGGAACGAACUUGAAUGAAGACUUGAAAGGCCCCCAAAUCAGAGACCCUGAAGCUUCCCAGUAAGUCCUCUUCCCUGGAAGGACCGUCUGCUGUAACGAACAUAGAAGGCUGCCUAUUUUCCUCAACAGGAUUGGGACUAGGCAGAAUCUGAGGAAAAAAUAACAAAAUGGUGCACAUUCAUUGGGUUCCCAUCCCAAAGGGCAGAGCAAAAAGCAACAGCGGGCAUAUACGGGGCCAUUGAUGAUAUAACUGGCUUCUGUGGAAUGGAGGUGCUUUCUCUUACACAUUCUUGAAUAUUCCUAAGAAUAUUUUUCUAUUAGUCUAUACCUCUCUGUGUUUUCUUCUUUUCCCCCCAGCUUCAUUGAGGAACGAUUGACAAAUAAAAAUUGCAUAUAUUUAAGGUGUACA
rnacentral:lncRNA from 1 species